GAUGAACGCUGGCGGCGUGCCUAAUACAUGCAAGUCGAGCGAACGGACGAGAAGCUUGCUUCUCUGAUGUUAGCGGCGGACGGGUGAGUAACACGUGGAUAACCUACCUAUAAGACUGGGAUAACUUCGGGAAACCGGAGCUAAUACCGGAUAAUAUUUUGAACCGCAUGGUUCAAAAGUGAAAGACGGUCUUGCUGUCACUUAUAGAUGUAUCCGCGCUGCAUUAGCUAGUUGGUAAGGUAACGGCUUACCAAGGCAACGAUGCAUAGCCGACCUGAGAGGGUGAUCGGCCACACUGGAACUGAGACACGGUCCAGACUCCUACGGGAGGCAGCAGUAGGGAAUCUUCCGCAAUGGGCGAAAGCCUGACGGAGCAACGACGCGUGAGUGAUGAAGGUCUUCGGAUCGUAAAACCCUGUUAUUAGGGAAGAACAUAUGUGUAAGUAACUGUGCACAUCUUGACGGUACCUAAUCAGAAAGCCACGGCUAACUACGUG
rnacentral:rRNA from 1 species